rnacentral:rRNA from 1 species
GCCAGUAGCGCGGUGGUCCCACCUGACCCCAUGCCGAACUCAGAAGUGAAACGCCGUAGCGCCGAUGGUAGUGUGGGGUCUCCCCAUGCGAGAGUAGGGAACUGCCA